rnacentral:rRNA from 1 species
CAGCAGCCGCGGUAACACGAGGGGGGCAAGCGUUGUUCGGAAUUAUUGGGCGUAAAGGGCGCGUAGGCGGUUUGGCAAGUUUGGUGUGAAAUCUUCGGGCUCAACUCGAAGUCUGCACCGAAAACUGCCGGGCUUGAGUAUGGGAGAGGUGAGUGGAAUUUCCGGUGUAGCGGUGAAAUGCGUAGAUAUCGGAAGGAACACCUGUGGCGAAAGCGGCUCACUGGACCAUUACUGACGCUGAGGCGCGAAAGCUAGGGGAGCAAACAGGAUUAGAGACCCCCGUAGUCCCUGUCUCUUAUAC